rnacentral:rRNA from 1 species
UACGUAGGGUGCAAGCGUUGUCCGGAAUUAUUGGGCGUAAAGAGCUCGUAGGCGGUUUGUCGCGUCUGCUGUGAAAACUCGGGGCUUAACUCCGGGCCUGCAGUGGGUACGGGCAGACUAGAGUGCGGUAGGGGAGACUGGAAUUCCUGGUGUAGCGGUGAAAUGCGCAGAUAUCAGGAGGAACACCGGUGGCGAAGGCGGGUCUCUGGGCCGAUACUGACGCUGAGUGAGCGAAAGCCAGGGGAGCAAACGGG